UACGUAGGAGGCAAGCGUUGUCCGGAUUUAUUGGGCGUAAAGAGCGUGUAGGCGGCCAUACAGGUCAGCUGUGAAAACUCGAGGCUCAACCUCGAGACGUCGGUUGAAACCGUAUGGCUAGAGUCCGGAAGAGGAGAGUGGAAUUCCCGGUGUAGCGGUGAAAUGCGCAGAUAUCGGGAAGAACACCCGUGGCGAAGGCGGCUCUCUGGGACGGUACUGACGCUGAGACGCGAAAGCGUGGGGAGCGAACAGG
rnacentral:rRNA from 1 species